UACGUAGGGUGCGAGCGUUAAUCGGAAUUACUGGGCGUAAAGCGUGCGCAGGCGGUCUAUUAAGACAGAUGUGAAAUCCCCGGGCUUAACCUAGGAACUGCAUUUGUGACUGGCAGGCUAGAGUAUGGCAGAGGGGGGUAGAAUUCCACGUGUAGCAGUGAAAUGCGUAGAGAUGUGGAGGAAUACCGAUGGCGAAGGCAGCCCCCUGGGCCAAUACUGACGCUCAUGCACGAAAGCGUGGGGAGCAAACAGG
rnacentral:rRNA from 1 species